CGACCAAGGUUCGAUUCGAGCGUUAGCGAGAAAGCGUUGCCGCAGGCAACGACCCGAAGGGCGAAGCGCGCAGCGCUGAGUAAUCCUUCCCCCACCACCA
rnacentral:sRNA from 1 species